ensembl:lncRNA
GUUACAAUAGCAAUCCACCAAAGUCAGAGCUCACCUGACUCUUAAAGAGAAUGAUGAGUGAGAGACACUCUGAUUGGUUUAUUUGAUGCUACGCCCAAAAUUAACCACACCCAUGAUUAAUUAAGAGAAUUAGUGCAUGCCUUCUGUGAGCUUUAAGUGGUACUUUUCCCGUGGUUACGAUAGCAAAGACACACUGACAUGCCCUAAAUCAAGCUCUAAAGUGCACGGAUGAUGGCUCACCUACCUGAAUGAAUUAGUUAAGACUCAUUAAUUCUGAAUUAUGACUUUUUAUUUUAUUAGUUUAAUGCAAGCUUUGAGUUUUUAGUGACCGGUUUAGAGAUUGUUGUUGAUGUAUGUGUCCUGCAGGGGGCAGGAAAGAGCGCAGGGCUAAUGCAGACGAACAGCCCGGACCAAGCGGAGCCAAACAUCACUCCGUCAUCCACACACUGGGCCACCGUACUGUCCCCCGAGCCUCCCCGUCCCAAGCGCACAGGUUCGCUGUUCCUCAGCAUCCAGGUGGGCUGAUUCGGCUGCCGGGGUCGGGGGCGGGAAAGAGGGAGCGGGAGGCGGAGCAUGAAGGUAACCAUGGAGACAAAGGCCACGCCUCCUUUGCUCUGAAGGUCCAGCGCCAAAGCACAGAGGUCAGUUCAGGAGUCUCAGUGCAAAUCACAAGAAAACAAAACACAAAUAAAUAG